rnacentral:rRNA from 1 species
GAUCCUGGCUCAGGAUGAACGCUAGCUACAGGCUUAACACAUGCAAGUCGAGGGGCAGCAUGAACUUAGCUUGCUAAGUUUGAUGGCGACCGGCGCACGGGUGAGUAACACGUAUCCAACCUUCCGUUUACUCAGGGAUAGCCUUUCGAAAGAAAGAUUAAUACCUGAUAGUAUGGUGAGAUUGCAUGAUAACACCAUUAAAGAUUUAUUGGUAAACGAUGGGGAUGCGUUCCAUUAGGUUAGG